GGUUAAGCGACUAAGCGUACACGGUGGAUGCCCUGGCAGUCAGAGGCGAUGAAGGACGUGCUAAUCUGCGAUAAGCGUCGGUAAGGUGAUAUGAACCGUUAUAACCGGCGAUUUCCGAAUGGGGAAACCCAGUGUGAUUCGUCACACUAUCAUUAACUGAAUCCAUAGGUUAAUGAGGCGAACCGGGGGAACUGAAACAUCUAAGUACCCCGAGGAAAAGAAAUCAACCGAGAUUCCCCCAGUAGCGGCGAGCGAACGGGGAGCAGCCCAGAGCCUGAAUCAGUGUGUGUGUUAGUGGAAGCGUCUGGAAAGGCGUGCGAUACAGGGUGACAGCCCCGUACACAAAAAUGCACAUACUGUGAGCUCGAUGAGUAGGGCGGGACACGUGGUAUCCUGUCUGAAUAUGGGGGGACCAUCCUCCAAGGCUAAAUACUCCUGACUGACCGAUAGUGAACCAGUACCGUGAGGGAAAGGCGAAAAGAACCCCGGCGAGGGGAGUGAAAAAGAACCUGAAACCGUGUACGUACAAGCAGUGGGAGCACGCUUAGGCGUGUGACUGCGUACCUUUUGUAUAAUGGGUCAGCGACUUAUAUUCUGUAGCAAGGUUAACCGAAUAGGGGAGCCGAAGGGAAACCGAGUCUUAACUGGGCGUUAAGUUGCAGGGUAUAGACCCGAAACCCGGUGAUCUAGCCAUGGGCAGGUUGAAGGUUGGGUAACACUAACUGGAGGACCGAACCGACUAAUGUUGAAAAAUUAGCGGAUGACUUGUGGCUGGGGGUGAAAGGCCAAUCAAACCGGGAGAUAGCUGGUUCUCCCCGAAAGCUAUUUAGGUAGCGCCUCGUGAAUUCAUCUCCGGGGGUAGAGCACUGUUUCGGCAAGGGGGUCAUCCCGACUUACCAACCCGAUGCAAACUGCGAAUAC
rnacentral:rRNA from 1 species